GUGCCAGCCGCGCGGUAAUACCGGCAGCCCAAGUGAUGGCCGCUGUUAUUGGGCCUAAAGCGUCCGUAGCUGGCCGCACAAGUCCAUCGGGAAAUCCGCCCGCCCAACGGGUGGGCGUCCGGUGGAAACUGCGUGGCUUGGGACCGGAAGGCGCGACGGGUACGUCCGGGGUAGGAGUGAAAUCCCGUAAUCCUGGACGGACCGCCGAUGGCGAAAGCACGUCGCGAAGACGGAUCCGACAGUGAGGGACGAAAGCCAGGGUCUCCAACCGGAUUAGAUACCCCUGUAGUCC
rnacentral:rRNA from 1 species